CAGUCGCCGCGGUAAUGCGUAGGUGGCAAGCGUUGUCCGGAAUUAUUGGGCGUAAAGGGCUCGCAGGCGGUUUCUUAAGUCUGAUGUGAAAGCCCCCGGCUCAACCGGGGAGGGUCAUUGGAAACUGGGAAACUUGAGUGCAGAAGAGGAGAGUGGAAUUCCACGUGUAGCGGUGAAAUGCGUAGAGAUGUGGAGGAACACCAGUAGCGAAGGCGACUCUCUGGUCUGUAACUGACGCUGAGGAGCGAAAGCGUGGGGAGCGAACAGGAUUAGAUACCCCCGUAGUCCCUGUCUCUUAUAC
rnacentral:rRNA from 1 species